GGGGAAAGACAUCAUGGAGGAGUUAAGGUUUCACCAGCCCUUGAGAUCGCUGAAUCACUCAUAUCCUACAAAUCAUCUUUGUGUUCUAGCUGAUUGCUCAUUCUGAGAGAAGCCAAUCCCAUGUUGUGAGGAUAGAAGAGACCCGUGUUGAAAAGCCUUCAAGAUGGGAAAGAAUUAAAGCUUACAGUCAACAACUGGCACCAAAUAAGAUAUAGCAGUGAUUAAAAAGCAAUGACCAAGAAUGAGAAUAUUUCCUUAAAAGAGGAUGGAUAAUUAUAAUCCUAUAAAGACUUAUGGCAAGUAUUUUUCAUUGGCUUAGUACUACUUUC